rnacentral:rRNA from 1 species
UACGUAGGGUGCGAGCGUUAAUCGGAAUUACUGGGCGUAAAGCGUGCGCAGGCGGUUCGCCAAGUCAGGUGUGAAAUCCCCGGGCUUAACCUGGGAUUGCGCUGAAACUAGCGGCUUGAGUGUGGCAGAGGGGGUGGAAUCCACGGUGUAGCAGUGAAUGCGUAGAGAUGUGGAGGAACACCGAUGGCGAAGGCAGCCCCUGGGUUAACACUGACGCCUCGAGGCACGAAAGCGUGGGGAGCAAACAGG